GCAACUCUGCCGUGUGCGCGGUCAAUCUGGCCGUGUAUGAGCCAACACCACGAUACGGGGAGCCCGGCUCUGGCCGUGAGGCGCAGGCCCCGGAACGGGGAAGCGCAGAGCGGUCAGGAGGGCACCCACCUGCUGAGCGCAGGUUCAUCGUAGGUCAGGUCCCCAGCGGCACGGCGGAGUGCU
rnacentral:other from 1 species